GACGAACGCUGGCGGCGUGCUUAACACAUGCAAGUCGAACGGAAAGGCCCUGCUUUUGUUGGGUGCUCGAGUGGCGAACGGGUGAGUAACACGUGUGUAACCUGCCCUUGACUUUGUGAUAACUUCAGGAAACUGGGGCUAAUACCGGAUAGGAUCUCCUGCUGCAUGGUGGGGGUUGGAAAGUUUCGGCGGUUGGGGCUGGACUCGCGGCUUAUCAGCUUGUUUGUGGGGUAGUGGCUUACCAAGGCUUUGACGGGUAGCCGGCCUGAGAGGGUGACCGGCGACAUUGGGACUGAGAUACGGCGCAGACUCCUACGGGCGGCAGCAGUGGGGAAUAUUGCACAAUGGGCGGAAGCCUGAUGCAGCAACGCCGCGUGCGGGAUGACGGCCUUCGGGUUGUAAACCGCUUUCGAAUGUGACGAAGCGUGAGUGACGGUAAUGGGUAAAGAAGCACCGGCUAACUACGUG
rnacentral:rRNA from 1 species